rnacentral:lncRNA from 1 species
AUUUGCUCACGUGCAUGUUCAUAUGUCUCAUUAAGUCCCAUGAGAAACUGCACUAGCUUCUGCCUACACAUAAAACCCUUAUAUUCACUUGACUUUGGACAAUCAUAACCAGAAGCGGGUGCCAAACAGUCAAAUUCAGCCCAAAGUUCACGCAACUUUAAGAAAUAAGCUGCAAUUGAACUUGUUCCUUGAUUUGCAGUGGCUAUGGCUCUGUGUUACUGGAGGAUUAUAGAGCUACUAACCUUAUCAAUUAUCUCCCUCAAAUCCUUUCAAAUAGCAUAUGCAUUAGAAGAAUACACGAUUAUACUCAUCAAAUCAUUCAAUACAUAAUUCAUCAUCUAUGAGAGAACAAUCGCAUUGCAUCUCUCUCACGGAUCUGUCAAAUUCCUACUGUAGUCUUCCUUCUUACAGUUGCCUUCAAUGAAUCCUAUUUUUUUGCAACCUAAUAUCGCGAUACGUAUUUUCCUACUCCACACAGAGUAAUUGUCUAAUCCUGUCAACUGCAGUGAGAUUAAGACAACUCCUCAGUUGUUUGUUGAGUAUAGAAAUAGAGGAUUUGUGACUUAGAUUUUUUUGCAAUAUAUUAUCAACAGUCGCCAUUGUAUGGCUUCUUUUAUUUGUGCCUUAGAAUUGCAGGAAUGAAGAUAAAACUGUAGAAUAAAAGCGAAUUAAGGAAAUUAAGUUGAGAUCGAUGAGCUUAGGUCCAUAUUAAGGCCUCUUUGCUUUGAUACCAUGAACAAAACUGAGCUACAUAACUAUGCAAUCUGAGUUCUGAGCUUCAGUUAUGGAGGACAAUUAACAGAGAAAGGAGAUGAGUGAGAGAGAAUCAACUAUUCUCAAAAUUUUGACUAAAAGAAAUCUGUACAGUAUACACCUAUUUAUAAAAAAGCUAAUAGUAUCCACUAACUAUCUAACACUCAUUACUCAUCUAACAACCUUCUAAAAAUUAAUUAGAACUGCCUAACUAACAAAUGCACAUGCUUGUCACGUGCACAUUACUUAGCUGCCUCAAUACUUUGGUUGGCGCACAUGCAUGUAUUUAUUAUGACCUUCGGAUUAUUUAAUGAUUCCUAUUCGUUCUGACAGUUUUAAGCUAUGUGGCUUUGUUUCGCAUUGUAAAAAUCUUGCAUCGAUUGAGCGUACGUACUGUUAUCUCACUGUAUUCAAAACCAGAAAAUUGGGAAAUAUUAUUUAAGAAAAUAAAAUAGAAAAAAAUUUCUAGCCCACAAGUUUUUUUUUGUCCUUAAAGAAUUUAAUUUACUUACCGUUACCUAAGGUUUCGUUAAUUCCUCUCAAGAUAGAACCGAAUAAUUAUUUUUUGAUAGCGGCACUUCAAAUCAUAGAACUUCGUCGAACUCAAAUGGCGGAGCAAAUCACACAACAUACUUACGUUUUUGCUUUGAAAAAUAAUUCUGAAUGCAGAAGAUAGAGGGGAGAGCUUUUC